rnacentral:rRNA from 1 species
GACGAACCGAGCGAACGUUAUUCGGAAUCACUGGGCUUAAAGGGUGCGUAGGUGGCGCCAUAAGUCAGGUGUGAAAUCUCGGGGCUCAACCCCGAAACUGCACUUGAUACUGUGGUGCUGGAGUACUGGAGAGGAGAUUGGAAUUUACGGUGUAGCAGUGAAAUGCGUAGAUAUCGUAAGGAAGACCAGUGGCGAAGGCGAAUCUCUGGACAGUUACUGACACUGAGGCACGAAGGCCAGGGGAGCAAACGGG